AGCAUGUAGAAUCACAACUCUUGUUUCAUGAAGUUUGUUAAGUAAUUUAAACAAAGGUAAAUUUAUAUCAGGAAUCAUGUGAGGAUACUUAAGACCAGCCGGUACUUUCAAGUUUUCUCCUGCCCAGAUCUGUUUGGAAGAAAUCUAGUCUUAUCUGCCUCAAAAGUCCAGCAGAAAAAAAUAGCUGAAAUAAAUGAAGCCUGUGAUUACUUGGUUCUGUGUUUACCUAGACAUUCUGGCAUUUGGCUCAAAAGACAAAGCUUGUUAGAUGUGCUAUUUGAACCUGGUUUUGCUAUAGAUUUUAAAUUGGAAGAAAAAAAUGGUAACAGAGUAAAGCUCUCUAAAUCAUACACAUUUGGGCUGACUACCAAGCUAGUCUCACCCAGCAGUACUAAUAGAAUGUGGAAAAUGCUUUCCAGGGUUGAGGUCUGCCACCUAGCAACCGCUUUGAAAUACCCCCUGCACUGACCCAAGGCUACUCAAAAUGCCCAGUUUUGAAAUUGGUGGGAUAUUUUGCUGUGUAUGGGUCACAGUCAUUGAAAGAAGGAUUAGAACUGUUUUUCAGGCCAAAGACGUGCAGAUUAGAAGGACUGUUUAAUUUAACUGCUCAACUGGUUUGGAAAUAGAACUGGCAGAUUAAAUACAGAUGAAAGGUAAUUACAUCGGAUAUACGCUGGAAAAAAUCACUUGUUUUUCUGAAAUUGAAAUUGAACUAAGCAUCCCGUUUUUUAAAAGUUAAAACUGGCAAUCCUAUUUUGGAGAGACGUUUUUAGUACAGGGGAGAGGGCUUCUUGUCUCUGGCCUGGGGUCAUUGUCACUGAUAUUUGUCUUGCUGCUUCUGCUGCCGAGUGUCUUUGGCUCAGUUAUUCUUGAACCACACCAGAACUUGUGCUCAACUCAGGAUAUGUUCCUGACCCUUCCUUCUUGAAGGGACAGCUGUGUAACCAUUCAACCAUCUGGCCAUCAGUUUCCACAUCUGUGAAAUCAACUUCU